UCUGGAAACCAUAGAGCUGUGGCACCACCUGAUCCCAUUCCGAACUCAGAAGUGAAACACAGUAUCG
rnacentral:rRNA from 1 species